ACGGGUGCGUAACACGUGAGCAACCUACCGAAAUGAGGGGGAUAGCCGUCCCAACGGACGGGUAAUACCGCAUACGCUCUUGUCCAGGCAUUUGGACUUGAGGAAACCUCCGGGGCAUUUCGAGGGGCUCGCGGCCUAUCAGCUAGUUGGUGAGGUAACGGCUCACCAAGGCGACGACGGGUAGCUGGUCUGAGAGGAUGGCCAGCCACAUUGGGACUGAGAUACGGCCCAGACUCCUACGGGAGGCAGCAGUGGGGAAUCUUGCGCAAUGGCCUAACGGCUGACGCAGCGACGCCGCGUGAGGGAUGACGCUCUUCGGAGUGUAAACCUCUUUUGCCUGAGACGAAUUGUCAGCUUUAGCUGAUUUGACUGUAUCGGGUGAAUAAGCACCGGCUAACUCCGUGCCAGCAGCCGCGGUAAUACGGGGGGUGCGAGCGUUGUCCGGAAUCACUGGGCGUAAAGGGCGCGUAGGUGGCCUGAUAAGGGUGUGGUGAAAGUCCGGGGCUCAACCCCGGAUCGGCCGUGCCGACUGUUAGGCUAGAGUACUGUAGGGGCAGGCGGAAUUCCGGGU
rnacentral:rRNA from 1 species